GAGUGGCGGCGUGCUAUAAUGCAGUCGACGAGAAGACUGACUUCGGUUAGUCAAGUAAAGUGGCGAACGGGUGAGUAACACGUGGGCAAUCUACCUCUUAGACUGGGAUAAUCCUUCGAAAGGAGGCUUAAUACCGGAUAACACUGCCGAAUGGCAUCAUUUGGCAUUCAAAGGCGGCGCAAGCUGCCGUUAGGAGAUGAGCCCGCGCUCCAUUAGCUAGUUGGCGGGGUAACGGCCCACCAAGGCUACGAUGGAUAGCCGACCUGAGAGGGUGACCGGCCACACUGGGACUGAGAUACGGCCCAGACUCCUACGGGAAGCAGCAGUAGGGAAUAUUGUGCAAUGGACGAAAGUCUGACGCAGCAACGCCGCGUGGGUGAUGACGCUUCUUGGAGUGUAAAACCCUGUCAGUGGGGACGAAACGCAUGAUAAGUAACUGUUUCAUGCCUGACGGUACCCACAGAGGAAGUCCCGGCUAACUCCGUGCCAGCAGCCGCGGUAAUACGGGGGGGACAAGCGUUGUUCGGAUUUACUGGGCGUAAAGGGCGCGUAGGCGGGUCUUCAAGUUGGAUGUGAAAACCGGCGGCUCAACCACCGGCCUGCAUUCAAAACUGUUGAUCUUGAGUCGGGAAGAGGAAAGCGGAAUUCCAGGUGUAGCGGUGAAAUGCGUAGAUAUCUGGAAGAACACCGGUAGCGAAGGCGGCUUUCUGGUCCCACACUGACGCUAAAGCGCGAAGGCUUGGGUAGCAAACAGGAUUAGAUACCCUGGUAGUCCAAGCGGUAAACGUUGGAUACUAGGUGUCGGGGGUAUCGACCCCCUCGGCGCCGAAGUUAACACAUUAAGUAUCCCGCCUGGGGGGUACGAUCGCAAGAUUGAAACUCAAAGGAAUUGACGG
rnacentral:rRNA from 1 species